rnacentral:rRNA from 1 species
CAGUCGCCACGGUAAUACGUAGGGUGCAAGCGUUAAUCAGAAUUACUGGGCGUAAAGCGUGCGCAGGCGGUUUGUUAAGACAGAUGUGAAAUCCCCGGGCUUAACCUGGGAACUGCAUUUGUGACUGGCAAGCUAGAGUAUGGCAGAGGGGGGUGGAAUUCCGCGUGUAGCAGUGAAAUGCGUAGAUAUGCGGAGGAACACCGAUGGCGAAGGCAGCCCCCUGGGCCAAUACUGACGCUCAUGCACGAAAGCGUGGGGAGCAAACAGGAUUAGAUACCCGAGUAGUCCCUGUCUCUUAUAC